rnacentral:lncRNA from 1 species
UGGGGAGUAUUUGUAUGGUCUAGAGUUGACAGGAGUUGAGUUGGGUAGUAAUGGUAUUGUAUGGUCAUAGGCUCUCUGAGGUGGUAAUUGAUUAGGAAUUACAAACAAAUCUUGGAACUCAUUGAUUAUGUUUUUCACUGCUUUGUCAACUUUUGGAACGUGAUUGUUAUGUUCAACAAUAGCACAAGUCCAAAUAUCAUUUCCUUUUGUCCACUUCAGGAACUGUUUAGCUGGUAACUCUUGGAUCUGAAGCUGUUGCUGGGGCACUACUCCUUGGAGUUUGAUAUAUUUGUCUUCUUCCUGCCAGGAAAUUGUUUUGUUCUUCCAAUGAUAAUCCAUGGGACUUCUAGAUUCCAACCAAUCAUAACCCAAUAUAGCAUCAUGUAUGUCCAAGUCAAUUACCCUUAUAUCAGUUUAGAAAGUAUGACCCUGGAUCCACC